UACAAAGGUCCCAAGCGUUGUUCGGAUUCACUGGGCGUAAAGGGUGCGUAGGUGGCAUGGUAAGUUUGAUGUGAAAUCUCCGGGCUUAACCCGGAAAUGGCAUUGAAUACUACUGUGCUGGAGGUUUGGAGGGGGGACUGGAAUUCUCGGUGUAGCAGUGAAAUGCGUAGAUAUCGAGAGGAACACCAGUGGCGAAGGCGAGUCCCUGGACAACACCUGACACUGAGGCACGAAAGCUAGGGGAGCAAACAGG
rnacentral:rRNA from 1 species